UCAGGACGAACGCUGGCGGCGUGCUUAACACAUGCAAGUCGAGCGGAAAGGCCCUUUCGGGGGUACUCGAGCGGCGAACGGGUGAGUAACACGUGAGUAAUCUGCCCCAGGCUCUGGGAUAGCCACCGGAAACGGUGAUUAAUACCGGAUAUGACGCGCCGCUGCAUGGUGGUGUGUGGAAAGUUUUUUCGGCUUGGGAUGUGCUCGCGGCCUAUCAGCUUGUUGGUGGGGUAAUGGCCUACCAAGGCUUUGACGGGUAGCCGGCCUGAGAGGGUGACCGGCCACACUGGGACUGAGACACGGCCCAGACUCCUACGGGAGGCAGCAGUGGGGAAUAUUGGACAAUGGGCGGAAGCCUGAUCCAGCAACGCCGCGUGAGGGAUGACGGCCUUCGGGUUGUAAACCUCUUUCAGUGCAGACGAAGCGAGAGUGACGGU
rnacentral:rRNA from 1 species